rnacentral:rRNA from 1 species
GAUCCUGGCUCAGAACAAACGCUGGCGGCGUGCUUAACACAUGCAAGUCGCACGAGAAAUCCGGGGCAACCUGGAGAGUAAAGUGGCGCACGGGUGAGUAACACGUGGGUAACCUACCCUUGGAUUGGGGACAACUCUUCGAAAGGAGAGCUAAUACCGAAUAAUAUUCUGAAAACUAUGGAGAUCGGAAUCAAAGGUGGCCUCUGCAUGCAAGCUACCGUCCGGGGAUGGGCCCGCGCACCAUUAGCUUGUUGGUAGGGUAACGGCCUACCAAGGCAACGAUGGUUAGCUGGUCUGAGAGGAUGGCCAGCCACACUGGAACUGAGACACGGUCCAGACUCCUACGGGAGGCAGCAGUGGGGAAUCUUGCGCAAUGGGGGAAACCCUGACGCAGCAACGCCGCGUGGGUGAUGAAGGCCUUCGGGUCGUAAAGCCCUGUCAGGUGGGAAGAAUGUCCCGGAAUUGAACAGGUUUCGGGAGUGACGGUACCACCAGAGGAAGCACCGGCUAACUCCGUGCCAGCAGCCGCGGUAA